rnacentral:lncRNA from 1 species
UUUCCCUAUCAAAAUUAAUUUUCCUGUCGUUGAAAUUGUUUUCUUUUGCAUAUCUUUUUAAUAUUUAUUUCGAAUAAGUAUAAAUAUAAAUAAAAAAAUGUUUUCUUGUCGCUAAAUAGUUUCUUGUUGCUAAUAUUAUUCUUCUUGUCGCUUCUUGACGCUUUUUGUCUCUACAAUUCUUUUUGUCUCUAAUUAGUGAGACCACGCAUGGGCAUUAAUACAUAAACAAACCGCGACUUGCGAUUUGGAACAAGAACGUUUAUUAAAUGAUAUGAUGAAUGGUUCUCCAUUUCUUUAUGAGAGUACAGUAUCAAAUAUCAGUUUCAUAACGGUAAAAUAUAGAAAUACUCCACUUCAGUUCUUGUGACAGAAAUAGAAUUAUCGAUCGGCUUUCAGAGAACUCUCGCAAGUUAUCAAAAUUUGGGAAUUCCCUCUGACGUGUUUCUAAAUUUAUAAAAACACUAAAUAUAAAUACUGUUUAAUUCUGAUUUUCCGUAUUGUUAAAAACACGCAUAUAAGUCAAGGAAAAUAUCACACAUGAAGAUUAUGAGUAAAACAUUACAGGAAAGUUGUUUAUGUUCAAUUGUUUUGCUUGUUUUUACCUUUUAAAGCAAGACAAUCAUAAGAAUCUGAGAUGUUGCUGAAUGUUUAGAAUAAAACGAAUGACGUGAGGGAGUGUAUCAUAGGGUCAAUGGUAAAAGUCUACAGAUUGCUUGACAGCAAUCGUAUCCCAAAAACU